rnacentral:lncRNA from 1 species
AGGGGCCGCUGGACAGAAAGCAAAGGGAGAGAGGAUUUUAAAAGAAACUGGGGUAUCAGCCCUUCCCUGGGCUUCAAUGCACCAUGAUAUGCGGCCCAGACCCCCAAGCCAUGCAUAGCCCCAUCAGGAUCUGGAUUCGCCUGAGGAUGAAGAUCCAGGGCUUCAUCGCGUUAUUUCCAAGGGAUGGUUCUCAGAGUCAUUGCUGCCAACUUAAACUCUUCACUCAUCCUGUUUCCGUACCACGUCUUGAAGUAUCUUGGAUUUUUCCUCCAGCUGACGAUGAUCGGCAGCACUGAACAUGCUUCAAGGGCUCGAAACAAGCUUGUCUUAGUCAAAGGAUCAUAUUUAACAUUUUCAAUGCCGAUGGGUGAAUCCUGAGCCACGGGAUGGGCUCCCACUUCUCCCAGGCCUGUCUCCAUCCCAGCAAUGCCAGGAGAAUUCAUCUUCAGUAAGAGAUUGUUGUUGUUUUUUUUGGGGGGGGGGCGAGAGGAUGCGGGGAAUUCUUGAAUGGGAUUUGUAACUAUUGCACAUGCGAGGCUCCAUGUCCAAUCCCAGAAGGGAUUAAGCCUUUGACGACCUAAGAGUUUCAAAUAAUGUAAGUGAAAGUGUUGUCCAGCAAGAGUGCAGACACUGUUGUGCUGUUUACUGAUCUGGGGCUUCCUCAGGACUCAG